GGAGCGGUGGGUGAGUGGCUAAUACCACCAGACUGUAAAUCUGGCGCCCGGAAGGGCUACGUAGGUUCGAAUCCUACCCGCUCCACCA
rnacentral:tRNA from 1 species